rnacentral:rRNA from 1 species
GAUGAACGCUGACAGAAUGCUUAACACAUGCAAGUCGAUGGGGAAGUGGUGCUUGCACCCUGGUCACCAUGGCGGACGGGUGAGUAACGCGUAAGGAACUUACCUGCGGGACCGGGAUAACAGCAGGAAACUGCUGACAAGACCGGAUAAGGUCAUUAAGCUGCAUAGCUUAGUGAUGAAAGGAGACGCCUGCGGAGAGCCUUGCGUCCUAUUAGCUAGUUGGAGGGGUAACGGCCCACCAAGGCGAAGAUAGGUAGCCGGCCUGAGAGGGUGGACGGCCACAAGGGGACUGAGAUACGGCCCUUACUCCUACGGGAGGCAGCAGUGGGGAAUAUUGGACAAUGGGGGCAACCCUGAUCCAGCAAUUCUGUGUGCACGAAGACGGUUUUCGGAUUGUAAAGUGCUUUCAGCAGGGAAGAAGGAAGUGACGGUACCUGCAGAAGAAGCGACGGCUAAAUACGUG